rnacentral:rRNA from 1 species
UACGUAGGGUGCAAGCGUUAAUCGGAAUUACUGGGCGUAAAGCGUGCGCAGGCGGUUUUGUAAGUCUGUCGUGAAAUCCCCGGGCUCAACCUGGGAAUUGCGAUGGAGACUGCAAGGCUUGAAUCUGGCAGAGGGGGGUAGAAUUCCACGUGUAGCAGUGAAAUGCGUAGAGGAUGUGGAGGAACACCGAUGGCGAAGGCAGCCCCCUGGGUCAAGAUUGACGCUCAUGCACGAAAGCGUGGGAGCAAACAGG